rnacentral:rRNA from 1 species
UUGAACGCUGGCGGUAUGCUUUACACAUGCAAGUCGAACGGCAGCACGGGGCAACCUGGUGGCGAGUGGCGAACGGGUGAGUAACAUAUCGGAACAUAUCCGGAAGUGGGGGAUAACGUAGCGAAAGUUACGCUAAUACCGCAUACGCCCUGAGGGGGAAAGCGGGGGACCUUCGGGCCUCGCGCGAUUGGAGCGGCUGAUGUCGGAUUAGCUAGUUGGUGGGGUAAAGGCCUACCAAGGCGACGAUCCGUAGCUGGUCUGAGAGGAUGAUCAGCCACACUGGGACUGAGACACGGCCCAGACUCCUACGGGAGGCAGCAGUGGGGAAUUUUGGACAAUGGGCGCAAGCCUGAUCCAGCCAUGCCGCGUGAGUGAAGAAGGCCUUCGGGUUGUAAAGCUCUUUCAGACGGAAAGAAAUCGGGCGCGUGAAUAGCGUGCCUGGAUGACGGUACUGUCAGAAGAAGCACCGGCUAACUACGU